UCUUUAUGAUGAUAACUUACUCAGCUCACUCAGAUCGUAUAUGAUCGAAAACUUUUCCUAUAUCCAACAUUCAUCAAAAAACUGAUUCAAGA
rnacentral:snoRNA from 1 species